rnacentral:rRNA from 1 species
AGAGUUUGAUCCUGGCUCAGAACGAACGCUGGCGGCAGGCUUAACACAUGCAAGUCGAGCGCAUCCUUCGGGAUGAGCGGCAGACGGGUGAGUAACGCGUGGGAAUCUACCUAUCUCUAGGGAAUAACUCAGGGAAACUUGUGCUAAUACCCUAUACGUCCUUCGGGAGAAAGAUUUAUCGGAGAUGGAUGAGCCCGCGUUGGAUUAGCUAGUUGGUGGGGUAAAGGCCUACCAAGGCGACGAUCCAUAGCUGGUCUGAGAGGAUGAUCAGCCACACUGGGACUGAGACACGGCCCAGACUCCUACGGGAGGCAGCAGUGGGGAAUAUUGGACAGUGGGCGCAAGCCUGAUCCAGCCAUGCCGCGUGAGUGAUGAAGGCCCUAGGGUUGUAAAGCUCUUUCACCGGUGAAGAUAAUGACGGUAACCGGAGAAGAAGCCCCGGCUAACUUCGUGCCAGCAGCCGCGGUAAUACGAAGGGGGCUAGCGUUGUUCGGAUUUACUGGGCGUAAAGCGCACGUAGGCGGAUUGGUCAGUUAGGGGUGAAAUCCCAGGGCUCAACCCUGGAACUGCCUUUAAUACUGCCAGUCUUGAGUAUGGAAGAGGUGAGUGGAAUUCCGAGUGUAGAGGUGAAAUUCGUAGAUAUUCGGAGGAACACCAGUGGCGAAGGCGGCUCACUGGUCCAUUACUGACGCUGAGGUGCG